rnacentral:rRNA from 1 species
GACGAACGCUGGCGGCGUGCCUAAUACAUGCAAGUCGAACGCACUCUCGUUAGAUUUAAGGAGCUUGCUUCUGAUUGAUAACAUUUGAGUGCGUGGCGGACGGGCGAGUAACACGUGGAUAACCUGCCCUAAAGUGGGGGAUAACCUUUGGAAACAGAUGCUAAUACCGCAUAAAACCUAGCACCGCAUGGUGCGAGGUUGAAAGAUGGGUUCGUCUAUCACUUUAGGAUGGACCCGCGGGGCAUUAGUUAGUUGGUGAGGUAAAGUCUCACCAAGACCGUGAUGGAUAGACGAACUGAGAGGGUGAUCGGCGACCCUGGGAGGGAGACACGGCCCUGGCUCCUACGGGAGGCAGCAGUAGGGAAUCUUCGACAAUGGACGAAAGUCUGAUGGAGCAGCGGCGCGUGAGUGAAGAAGGUUUUCGGAUCGUAAAACUCUGUUGUUGGAGAAGAACGUAUUUGAUAGUAACUGAUCAGGUAGUGACGGUAACGAAUCAGGAAGCCACGGCUAACUACGUG